rnacentral:ncRNA from 1 species
CUAUUUAAGAGUUUGAUCCUGGCUCAGGAUGAACGCUGGCGGCGUGCUUAACACAUGCAA